UAGCAUUCACCAAGGAUGAACUGAAAGCAGGAUCUGUCUCACCAUACACUGAGAACUGUAGAAUAUGCAAGGCACAUGGAACUUAUUUUCUUACGUAUAAAAGCGUGUAUAUGCUCCUUAUACAUCUGUCCUAAUGCUUUCCAACAGUCCUCACUCUAAGCCUCACCAAGACCCAGAUGAGGAAACAAAGGCACAGAGGGAUAAACUCAGAGCAGGAAGACAGCAAGGAAUAGCAGUGAAAAGCAUGGUGCUUAAUCCAACCCCUUACUCACUGCUGAGACCUGGAAAUGUGUUCAUCAGCUACAAAACAGGAGAGAUGAUAACUCAUUAUGUAUAUGUGAUGAUAAACAGAGACAAUAUAUUGAAGAGCUUAUAUGAGUGGCAGACACGGGACAUGCUUCCCUGUGGCUGGCCAGCGUGUCAUCUUCUCCAUGUGUCCAGAGAAAAGCUUUGCAAAUCAACCUCUCGAUGAAUGAUGACGGCACCAGUGAAAUCAGGGGAGGCAGAAAAUCAUGUUAGUUUGGUUUAUAAUGCAAGAAGUUACAGAACACAGAGUGCUCAAAACUAAGAAUGUGCUAGUUGUAUAACAGGGUCCUUCUUGGGACUCAGCCAGGAUUCAAACUAUAAAGGAAAAUCGGGUGAGCAGGUGGGAUAGUCAAGUGAUUCUAUUUGCAUGAAUAAUUUUGUGAGAUGAUACCUUCUUGUCCAGGAACAUUGAGCAGUGCUCGUGCUGGGUGGAUUGUGAUGUGGAAACCCUGGGAGAUGUCACGUCUGACAUCAACUUUCUCCCAGGUGACAGCUGCACCCUCUAAAGGCUUCUCAAAUGACAGAGCUCAAUGAAUAUAGAAGGGAAAAGUAUGAGGAUGACCUAUGAGCACAGGGUGGACAGUCUCUGCGGUGGGCAGGCAUUAGCAAAGGAGAGACCUUCUGUAUUAUGCAGAGUGGAAUUUUCCAGAGGCUACAUGAUGAGUGACGUCACGACAGAUUGAGUACAGAGCCAACUAUGAGAAUCCAGCUGCCUUCUAUUAAGGUACCCUUUCUGUGGAUACCUUCAAGUUCCAGCACCAAAUAUGAAGGCGACUGCCAUCACCAGCUCCCACCCCUACAUGAGGUCAAAUCCCUGGAUGGCAUAUAACACACUAGAGCAAUUAAGAGGAUCUAACUAAAGGUGGGGAAGGAAAAAUGUGUGUACAGAGACAGGAAGUCAUGGACACAGUUAUAUUGAAAGAUACAAUGACCUCCUC
rnacentral:lncRNA from 1 species